UUCUUACCUCUUCUCCCUCCCUGCACCUUCCACCCUGGUCACAAACUCCUCCGCUCCGCUCCACAAACACUGACCCCACCAUCACCACCUCUGCCCACCCCUGCCCAAUGCCCACAGCCACCACCCCGCCCGGCUGUUUUCCCAGAGUGGGUGGAGGAGCACACCCUGGAGUUUCCGUAGGUGGAAAGAAGGGCUGGAGGGGCUGGCACAUGUGCCUACUGUACGUCCAUUGCAGCAGUGUCCUUACCAAGGUCAACGGGAGAGCUGGGGGGAGGAUGUGGGUUGCUAGGGAGCACCCAAACAAAUGCUGUGGCAUAAACAGAGGAGGGUGCUGAAAGAUUCCGAGAGCCAGCGACAUGCCUUGUAGGAGCAGACACGGAAUGAAGUCACAAACAUACCUUUCAACCAGGCAAUUCAUUUACAGCGAAAUCAGCAAGCUGGCAUGGAAGCAGUCGGGGCUCAACACAUCAUUGUGCAGAGUCAAAGUUUCACCGAGAAGGUGAAUUAAAGUGACAAUGUUAUGUACAUUUAGCCUACUCCCACAGAAAAGAUAUUUAUGCAAAUGUUUAAUCAAUAUGUGCUGAAAAAUCACUUUAAAUGACAUCCAAGCAUGGGCUUGAUAGGCCUGUUCCAAUCAAGGCUUGGUGAAAUGAACAAGACGAAGUGAAACGUUGUCGGUGCUGGGAAAAUCCCAAAAGGCACUGACCAUUCCAUAAUUAAACAGCCUAAAUAUCAAUCGAUGGAAAGAUUGUAUAACACUGCAACAGCAGAGGUCUGUGUUUCACUGAAGCUCAAUCAUGGAAACUACAUCAUUAAAGUGAAGUGAAAUCUUA